rnacentral:rRNA from 1 species
AGUGAACGCUGGCGGUAGGCCUAACACAUGCAAGUCGAACGGCAGCACAGGAGAGCUUGCUCUCUGGGUGGCGAGUGGCGGACGGGUGAGGAAUACAUCGGAAUCUACUCUGUCGUGGGGGAUAACGUAGGGAAACUUACGCUAAUACCGCAUACGACCUACGGGUGAAAGCAGGGGACCUUCGGGCCUUGCGCGAUUGAAUGAGCCGAUGUCGGAUUAGCUAGUUGGCGGGGUAAAGGCCCACCAAGGCGACGAUCCGUAGCUGGUCUGUGAGGAUGAUCAGCCACACUGGAACUGAGACACGGUCCAGACUCCUACGGGAGGCAGCAGUGGGGAAUAUUGGACAAUGGGCGCAAGCCUGAUCCAGCCAUACCGCGUGGGUGAAGGAGGCCUUCGGGUUGUAAAGCCCUUUUGUUGGGAAAGAAAUCCAGCUGGCUAAUACCCGGUUGGGAUGACGGUACCCAAAGAAUAAGCACCGGCUAACUUCGUGCCAGCAGCCGCCGUAA